CACAUGCAAGUCGAGCGGUAAGGCCCUUCGGGGUACACGAGCGGCGAACGGGUGAGUAACACGUGGGUGAUCUGCCUCGCACUCUGGGAUAAGCCUGGGAAACUGGGUCUAAUACCGGAUACGACCAGGGACUGCAUGGUCUUUGGUGGAAAGGUUUACUGGUGCGAGAUGGGCCCGCGGCCUAUCAGCUUGUUGGUGGGGUAACGGCCUACCAAGGCGACGACGGGUAGCCGACCUGAGAGGGUGACCGGCCACACUGGGACUGAGACACGGCCCAGACUCCUACGGGAGGCAGCAGUGGGGAAUAUUGCACAAUGGGCGAAAGCCUGAUGCAGCGACGCCGCGUGAGGGAUGACGGCCUUCGGGUUGUAAACCUCUUUUGACAGGGACGAAGCGCAAGUGACGGUACCUGUAGAAGAAGCACCGGCCAACUACGUGCCAGCAGCCGCGGUAAUACGUAGGGUGCGAGCGUUGUCCGGAAUUACUGGGCGUAAAGAGCUUGUAGGCGGUCUGUCACGUCUUCUGUGAAAACUUGGGGCUCAACCUUAAGCUUGCAGGGGAUACGGGCAGACUAGAGUACUUCAGGGGAGACUGGAAUUCCUGGUGUAGCGGUGAAAUGCGCAGAUAUCAGGAGGAACACCGGUGGCGAAGGCGGGUCUCUGGGAAGUAACUGACGCUGAGAAGCGAAAGCGUGGGUAGCGAACAGGAUUAGAUACCCUGGUAGUCCACGCCGUAAACGGUGGGUACUAGGUGUGGGUUUCCUUCCACGGGAUCCGUGCCGUAGCUAACGCAUUAAGUACCCCGCCUGGGGAGUACGGCCGCAAGGCUAAAACUCAAAGGAAUUGACGGGGGCCCGCACAAGCGGCGGAGCAUGUGGAUUAAUUCGAUGCAACGCGAAGAACCUUACCUGGGUUUGACAUACACCGGAAAGCCAUAGAGAUAUGGCCCCCCUUGUGGC
rnacentral:rRNA from 1 species